UACGAAGGGGCCAAGCGUUGCUCGGAAUCACUGGGCGUAAAGGGUGCGUAGGCGGGUCUUUAAGUCAGGGGGGAAAUCCUGGAGCUCAACUCCAGAACUGCCUUUGAUACUGAGGAUCUUGAGUUCGGGAGAGGUGAGUGGAACUGCGAGUGUAGAGGUGAAAUUCGUAGAUAUUCGCAAGAACACCAGUGGCGAAGGCGGCUCACUGGCCCGAUACUGACGCUGAGGCACGAAAGCGUGGGGAGCAAACAGG
rnacentral:rRNA from 1 species